rnacentral:rRNA from 1 species
GAUGAACGCUGGCGGCGUGCCUAAUACAUGCAAGUCGAGCGAACAGACGAGGAGCUUGCUCCUCUGACGUUAGCGGCGGACGGGUGAGUAACACGUGGAUAACCUACCUAUAAGACUGGGAUAACUUCGGGAAACCGGAGCUAAUACCGGAUAAUAUAUUGAACCGCAUGGUUCAAUAGUGAAAGAUGGUUUUGCUGUCACUUAUAGAUGGAUCCGCGCCGCAUUAGCUAGUUGGUAAGGUAACGGCUUACCAAGGCAACGAUGCGUAGCCGACCUGAGAGGGUGAUCGGCCACACUGGAACUGAGACACGGUCCAGACUCCUACGGGAGGCAGCAGUAGGGAAUCUUCCGCAAUGGGCGAAAGCUUGACGGAGCAACGCCGCGUGAGUGAUGAAGGUCUUCGGAUCGUAAAACUCUGUUAUUAGGGAAGAACAAAUGUGUAAGUAACUAUGCACGUCUUGACGGUACCUAAUCAGAAAGCCACGGCUAACUACGUG